ncrna:synthetic construct Purine riboswitch
GGACAUAUAAACGCGUGGAUAUGGCACGCGAGUUUCUACCGGGCACCGUAAAUGUCCGACUAUGUCC